GUUCAAUCCGCUGUGACGACCACUGAUGAUGAGGGACUAAGCCGAAGGAAAAUGAAUGAAUGAAUUAUUAUUAUUAUAACUAUUAUUAAAAUCUUUCUGAUUACAGGAUAAGACCUUUUAUAUUUUGGAUUUAUUUCUGACUGCAUCAUCAUGUUUCUGAUUUCAUCGCAUCUGCUGUUGUUCCUAUCACUCCUGGCUCAAUCCAGAGCACAAACAACAAUAGACACUACAGAAAUCACCACUGUAGACCCCAAAUCGUUGUCGUUCUAAAA